CACGGGGAGGCGCCGCUCUGAUGAGUCGUUAAUUACCCCGGCUGCGGCUUUAAGCGCGGCGAGGGGGCGGGUUGUCCCGGUAGAUACCGCCCCCGUCCCGGCUGGUCAGCGGGUGCGGCUGUUUACAGGUCCGGGAGUUCCUUUGGGCUGCAAAAACAAGCUGCUCGAGCAAUCUGAGGAAAUAAAAAGAAGAUGUGGCCGUUUUGGGGAUUGGACCUUAACCGAGUGCGCUGUGACCUGCUCUUCACAGAAGCCAUCAAUCAAAGGAUGCAGGUUCCCAACAGGCUGAAGGUGGCAGAUAGCUUCAGCCCUGUGGACAAGGAGCCAGUGACAGAGGACAUCCCUCCUUCCUUUCGGAUGCACAUCCCUGAUAGGAUUUCUCUUGCAGAAAUGUCAGAUGCCAGUUUGAGGCCCAUCCUGCUGAACCAGCAAAGGAAGGUCCCCUCUGUUGUGGUGCAUGUGUCCCCAGACUCCUCUGCGCAGCCCACCCACCUCGGGGACCUCCCUUGUCUGCACGUGGCCAGCAGAUCAAGCUCCCAGAAACGGAAACGAUCGGGCCACCACAGCAGCAGGUCGCGGCGGGAGAGGACUCCAAAUGACUGUGCCCAGCUGGCCUUGCACAGACUGGGACAGCACCGUGAGCGUGAGGACACGUGCCCCCUACCUGCGCACAGGGCCCCGGUCCCCCUCCUCGUGGAGACGGGCAGGAUCUACUCCGUACAGAACAUCUUCCAGACCAUGUACCACCUGGGCCAGGUGCUCUACCACCGUUUCCAGGAUUCCUUGCAAGACCCAGUUCUGUCCAGGGGACGGAUGCUCGGUAAAUAUCUUGUUUUCUCUCUGAUGGUUGUCUAAGGAAAUACAAGCAUGUGUUUUCCCUGUUGCCUGUCAUGGCAUGUGCUGUGUGUUUUGUUGUGACACUACGGGAUGCAUGGUGGAGGGGUAUAAAUAUGCAUGAUGAGGGUUAAGAGGAGAUGAGUAGAUGCUGUACAGGUGCUAUUUCCUUCCUCCUGAUGCUGCAGCCAGACAGCCCAUCCUGGGCAUCACACGCUACCUGCAUGGCUCAGCUUCCCGUGGCGGUGCCGUGUGUGAGGGAAGGUAAUUGCACCUCUUGAGUGGUGUUUGUCUGUCUGCAUCUCUGUUUUUCUUCCUCAGCUCCCAGGAAGCUGGCCCAGCCCCGGAGGGCACCUUGGAGGAGGUUGGGUUGGCUGAGAUGGCAGCAAUGAGAAAACAGUUGACGAGGAUCUCGGGGAGGCUUCGCGUGCUGGAGGAGCAGUGCAACGCCCGGCGGCAGAAGGAAGCCCUGGUCUACUCCGUGCUGAUCUCCGCCUGCCUCAUCAACACAUGGCUCUGGCUGAGGAGAUGAUUUCCUGUGCCCUGAUCUCCCCUGCCCAACCCCGGCAGUGAGGGUGAGGGCAGGGAGAGAGUCCUUGCUCAUGUACUUGUAAACAGUAAAACUAUGUGUUUCUUCUUAACUUGACCUGCUUUUUGCACAGCAAGCACUUGAGGAUUUGUGUGCUUUAGGCUGCGAUUACAAUGAAGAUGCCAUCCCUCUCCCAUCAGAGGUGGGUGGGGGAAACGAUGGAGCUGGACAGGAGGUGUCUGUCCUGUGCAAAGUAAUGGGAGACCCUCUGGCCCUUGGGCCGUCUGCUAGAGGAGGCACAAAACCAAGGUGUUAGGUGUUCGUGGACAUGGGGUCUGGUUACAGUCUUAGACUAUGGUGGGCUCAGUCCCCUGACCAUGUCCCAGCUUGGACAACUCAAUUCUGACCCCAUAAAAGUUCUCAGCCAGCUGCUGUGAUCUGUUCCUCAUCUUCCAUGCAAAAACUGCUGGUAGGUUUUCUUUUCUUCCUUGCACAACUGCUCUUUGGUGGAACUAGCACUAACGGUUCUCCUGUGCCGUAGCCCCUUCCCUAGGAGACGUGCAGCCUGAGGAGCUCCCAUCCCUGCAGCUGCUGCUGUGCCACCAUCACUUCAGCUCCCGUCCUGCUUGAGCCAGUUCAACAGCAGAUUUACAGAUAUUCAGAUCCAAAGUGGCUGUAAGAUCAUUGCUGAGGUCUGGGCUUCUUCAGGAGCUUGGCUCUUUCCCAGAUUGAUUUAAAUGGGAAACCUCCUCAUGGUGACUCUCUGGAUUAUAAGACCUCACACCAACAGUGAUAGCACCAGACAGGCUGUGGAAAAUUGCCCAUUGGGCAGCAGUAGAUAUUUGUUAGUUUGCCUGGGCCAGAGGGCAGGAUGGCUCCCAGCUCUGCUGCCAAGCUGUAACUUCAGCAAUGGUGCCAGAACACAGGUGAGGGGAAUUAUUGGCCCAGAUUCUCUUUAGCUAAAAACAAACCCAGUUCAACAGCUUUGCCAUUUCUUUCCUUUUGUGGAGUUCAGUAACACCUGGGUGUGAGCUGCCUUUGGGUUGCUUUUGGUGGUUCUUCUAGCACAUCUGCUGGAGUUGUGCUUCCAAGGCUCUGGGGGCAGGUUUUGGCAUGGCCUAACAGGACCUCUCUGUUCUACCUAUAAGUAAUUGUAGCUGGAUCUACAGGUCAUCCAGAUGUCCCAAGGGCUUGUUUACAGACACGGAUGCUUGAGUGUUUCUUGCCUGCAACUGCAUUAGGCAUCUGUGACUGUAAAUCUGGCAGCCGGGCAUUGACUAAUAAAUAACUGUCCCACAAGUAAUUGCAGAUCUGAACCUGUGCCUGAUAGAUGAACUGAGGAGAGCGCUGAGAUUUAUUGCAGGUGGGAGCCAGGAUGGUGUGGUGGGCUUGGGUGUGUGUGAGGAAUGGGAGCACUGGUGCAGAGCUGGUUCCUCUGGCGCAAGGCUGCGGCCAUGGUGACCAGGGAACCUUACCCAAUGCGCCUGUACAUGGCGGCUGCUGCUGGGACUCCUGCCAGGAAAGGAGGUAAAUUGUUUGACUGGUUUUCAUUCUCUGAGAGGUGAAAAUGUGUUUUGGAGGAAGCUUGUAUUUUUGUUUGUUUUUUUUUAAGCUGUAUUUUAAGGUGAGAAGGGCUGACCCUUUGGGGGACACACCACCUUCAAAGUGUGGAUUAGAAGGUGUUUGGAGGAGAGGUGAUCAAACUGUCUGUUCUCAAGGGCUAGUUAUUGGCAGCUUGUAGGGGUUGCAAUAUGUCUUUUAUGUAAGUCUUGAAACACUGACCCAUAAAAUGCAUAUUUUAAUAA